GGAUUAGAUACCCUGGUAGUCCACGCCGUAAACGAUGUCGACUUGGAGGUUGUGCCCUUGAGGCGUGGCUUCCGGAGCUAACGCGUUAAGUCGACCGCCUGGGGAGUACGGCCGCAAGGUUAAAACUCAAAUGAAUUGACGGGGGCCCGCACAAGCGGUGGAGCAUGUGGUUUAAUUCGAUGCAACGCGAAGAACCUUACCUACUCUUGACAUCCAGAGAACUUUCCAGAGAUGGAUUGGUGCCUUCGGGAACUCUGAGACAGGUGCUGCAUGGCUGUCGUCAGCUCGUGCC
rnacentral:rRNA from 1 species